GUCGUGAUUUCUUUUAAGUAGCUACCUGUCUGGACCUCCACGUUCCACCUGUAGCCCUGGGCUGUGAGGCUUUUCAGCUCAGAUGCUGUAUACUUGUGAGCAUGGGCUGCCAGUUCCAGAAGGGCAGAGACCUCAUCUUUCUUACUCACUGCUGUAUCCCAGCCAGAAAUGGGCCAUGCUUCCAGAACCACCAGCACUGAGAGGCCCAGUGCUGCCCCCACCCCCUGUGGGGUGUG